UACACUGGACAAAAUAUAAACACAACACUUUUGUUUUUGCCCCCAUUUUUCAAGAUCUAAGACUUUUUCUUCGUACAUUUCUCUCAAAUAUUGUUCACAAAUCUGUCUAAAUCUGUGUUAGUGAGCACUUCUACUUUGCCGAGAUAAUCCAUGAACAAUAUUUGAGAGAAAUAGGCCUUUUGCGUGCAUAGAAAAAGAUCUUUAGAUCUUUGAGUUCAGCUCAUGAAAAAUGGGGGCAAAAACAAAAGUGUUGCAUUUAUAAUUUUGUUCAGUGUA